GGGACACGUGGUAUCCUGUCUGAAUAUGGGGGGACCAUCCUCCAAGGCUAAAUACUCCUGACUGACCGAUAGUGAACCAGUACCGUGAGGGAAAGGCGAAAAGAACCCCGGCGAGGGGAGUGAAAAAGAACCUGAAACCGUGUACGUACAAGCAGUGGGAGCACGCUUAGGCGUGUGACUGCGUACCUUUUGUAUAAUGGGUCAGCGACUUAUAUUCUGUAGCAAGGUUAACCGAAUAGGGGAGCCGAAGGGAAACCGAGUCUUAACUGGGCGUUAAGUUGCAGGGUAUAGACCCGAAACCCGGUGAUCUAGCCAUGGGCAGGUUGAAGGUUGGGUAACACUAACUGGAGGACCGAACCGACUAAUGUUGAAAAAUUAGCGGAUGACUUGUGGCUGGGGGUGAAAGGCCAAUCAAACCGGGAGAUAGCUGGUUCUCCCCGAAAGCUAUUUAGGUAGCGCCUCGUGAAUUCAUCUCCGGGGGUAGAGCACUGUUUCGGCAAGGGGGUCAUCCCGACUUACCAACCCGAUGCAAACUGCGAAUACCGGAGAAUGUUAUCACGGGAGACACACGGCGGGUGCUAACGUCCGUCGUGAAGAGGGAAACAACCCAGACCGCCAGCUAAGGUCCCAAAGUCAUGGUUAAGUGGGAAACGAUGUGGGAAGGCCCAGACAGCCAGGAUGUUGGCUUAGAAGCAGCCAUCAUUUAAAGAAAGCGUAAUAGCUCACUGGUCGAGUCGGCCUGCGCGGAAGAUGUAACGGGGCUAAACCAUGCACCGAAGCUGCGGCAGCGACGCUUAUGCGUUGUUGGGUAGGGGAGCGUUCUGUAAGCCUGCGAAGGUGUGCUGUGAGGCAUGCUGGAGGUAUCAGAAGUGCGAAUGCUGACAUAAGUAACGAUAAAGCGGGUGAAAAGCCCGCUCGCCGGAAGACCAAGGGUUCCUGUCCAACGUUAAUCGGGGCAGGGUGAGUCGACCCCUAAGGCGAGGCCGAAAGGCGUAGUCGAUGGGAAACAGGUUAAUAUUCCUGUACUUGGUGUUACUGCGAAGGGGGGACGGAGAAGGCUAUGUUGGCCGGGCGACGGUUGUCCCGGUUUAAGCGUGUAGGCUGGUUUUCCAGGCAAAUCCGGAAAAUCAAGGCUGAGGCGUGAUGACGAGGCACUACGGUGCUGAAGCAACAAAUGCCCUGCUUCCAGGAAAAGCCUCUAAGCAUCAGGUAACAUCAAAUCGUACCCCAAACCGACACAGGUGGUCAGGUAGAGAAUACCAAGGCGCUUGAGAGAACUCGGGUGAAGGAACUAGGCAAAAUGGUGCCGUAACUUCGGGAGAAGGCACGCUGAUAUGUAGGUGAAGUCCCUUGCGGAUGGAGCUGAAA
rnacentral:rRNA from 1 species